AACACUAAUCAGUGCUUCUCCGCACCUGUGGUGCACGCGCUGCGCAGACCGCGUCGGGCAUGCGCUGCAGAGCACGCGCACCAGAGGAGGGGGCUGACUUGAGCAGAAAGCGCGGAGAGACAAGUCGAAAAGAAAAGACAGAAGAGCGCUGAUGAGGAAAAGCAGAAAGAAAGACUUUAACUGAGCUUGAAAUGAAACAAGAGCUAGCGAAUCUCUGCUGGACAGCAGCGUGUCACUGUAGGAGCUGCUCAGUGCUGCUAGGAUGACCUGCAUGUGGUGGGAGGGAUCUAAAUCUUUAGGUGACGGCCAAGCAGAAAACAAACUGUGAGGGAGAAGGGUUUCAGGAUGGGGCUGAUGGUAUAGCCCCCCUGUGAGUUUGGCCAACAUGCAAGAGGAAAAAAAAGAAAAAAGUGGAGGUGAGGGUUGAAUAAAAGGAUUGAAAAAUGCACAAUGUAUCGCCAACUGCUGCACCUGUAAGACAAAAACAAAAACAAACAUGCAUCUCCUAGAGGCCAACCAUCCUGGUACAAGUCAAGACCUGAGUCCCAGGUGCCCAAGAACCACCUGGUAUCCAGAAAGUGGGGAGAAGCGUCCAGCCAGGAGUGCUGACUGUGUCCAGGGCCAAGCCACAGCAAGCCCCACAAACACAAAUUAUUCGCUCACUCACUCUCACCCACCCAUUAGUGACACACAGAAAACAUAAAGACACAGUGGGAGCUGGUAUGCAAUAGCAAUGACAGCUUAGCCACCAUUUUUCCAGUCACUUUAUACUUCUGCUGCCUCAACCAUAACACAGGUCUACAAGAUCAGUCUGUUCAGUUUUUUUUCUGUCCUCAGUGGAGCUCUUGCUGGCCCAGCAGAACACACCAUAAAAGAUGACUGAUGUCACUCCAAAGUCAUAGAAGGUCUUCAGGAACUCCAAAAUAAUUGAAUCUGUGUAGCAGAUACAGCUGCUCUGUUAUUUCUGGGACAGAGCAGCUUUCUUCUGUGUAUAUUGUGAAUGGAGUCAGGACUCUUCCCUGUAAGUUGCCUAUGCUGCAGAAUACCCAUUAAGACACAUAAUUGUGGGUCUUUAUGUACUGUAGUUGCUAAGAUAGUCCAGGAUCCGUGUGGUGAGGUGAUGGUCCACACCUGUGUAAUCCACCUUGUCCUUCAGGAUUGUGGGUAUAAUUGUGUUGAAAGCAUUGGAGAAAUCAAAGCACAUGAUUCUCACAGUGCUCCACACACUUUCCAGGUGAGAUCGAUGUAAGAGCUGGAUGACAGCAUCAUCUACCCCAAUGUUGGGCUGAUAGGCAAACUGGACUGAGCUCACCUGGGGCCGAAGAUGAGCAAGGACCAGCCAUCCAGGGUCUCCAUCAGGUGUGAUGUCAGAGCCACCGGCCUGUAGCUGUUGUUCAUUUACAUCUGCCUAACUGAUCAUUUAUCCUCAGCACACUUUGAAAAGUGUGUUUAUGUUCCCUUGCCUGAAACUGGACAAUAUGUAAAAUCUGAAUUCAAACAAAGGUUGGGGAAACCUGCACUGAGCUGAGACAGAAAAAGUCACUUGGAUGAGUGACGUAGCGUUCCUCCUACUGAAAACGCAACGUCCAGAUGAACAAAAUUAACUUUUCAGGACAGGUCCCCAGAUG